UAACAUUUUAAGUAUCAAUUUCAG
rnacentral:siRNA from 1 species